rnacentral:lncRNA from 1 species
GCGGGACAGGCAUCCGCACCCUCACACGUUGGGCGGGGCGGCCGAACAGAGCGCAGCCACGGUUGCCGCCGGGUCGAGCAAUGGGCCGAGCAGCAAGCGCCGCCGGCCGGCUGGGCUUCCCCGCUGCAGCUGCACAAGCCCGAACUUGUCUGCUGCUGCUGCCCGCGGAGGGGGCGGGGCGGUGACGUCACGGGGCGGUGCUCCGCUCUGCCUGGGCGGCACGCGCGUUCUGCUCUUUCGGACUGGAGUCGCAGUGAGUUUUUCGCCGCUGCCGAGCCUGCGCGCUGCCCGCCCUCCCGCCUGGUCCCCGACGGAGCCUCCGCGCUGCCCAGCGACCCCCAGCCGCCCCGGAGGGUUCAUGCAGCUGCAGUAAGUGCGGCGGCGGCGGCGGCUCUGCUCGAAGGCGCUGAGGGAGGGACUGGGAGGCGGGCAGGGCGCACGUGGCCGCGGCGGAACCAGCCCGCCCGCCCGCCCGCGCGGGCGGGGGUCCCUCUAGCGCGGAGCCGCCGAGCCUGGCGCCGCUCGGUUUGCUUAGGAGCGCGGAGCCCGCGGCGAGGCCAGCCUGGUCCGUCCCGGCGCCGAUGCCGCCCGGCCGUCGGGCUGCGCCUCCGCCUCGCCCUGACUGCCCCUCGCUCGCUCGCCUGCCGCCAGAUCUUCCCGAGCGCCAUGGCCAGACCGCUGCAGGACGGGAGCCGCGUCGCGCCGACAACCGCUGGGUCCGGGAUCCCAACCUUCCCUGUGGGGGGGACGGUGGCGCUGCCGCCCCCCGCCCGCCGCCCCCCGCCCACCUUGUCAUCCCGGGUGAACGGCGUCUACCGUUGCGGGCAGAGGCAGGAGUUCCCCGAGAGCCGCUCCAGCGACCUGCGUGGCAGCGGGCAGCCCAGGAGCUGGGAUGAGGCUGCGACGGAGCUCAACGGACACCUGCGCCGCAGUGUGCCCAGCCUGGAGCAAGCAAUUGGGGCCCGCCUUCGGCAGAUGGGAGACCAGUUCCACCACGAGCACGUGCAAAGGGAGCCGCGGCAACAGGGCGCCCUCUGGGGCCACCUCUACCACUUCGUCUUCCAGCUGCUGGGCAUUCUGAACAAUCUCCCCGUGGAGGGGAUUGUGGCUGCCGCCGCCUUCCGCCCAAACUAGCUGCUAGACGGAGCUUGUCCUUCUGCUGGCCAGGAGGGAACGGGACUCGAGCAGAGGCGCCCAGCACGGGGCCUGCUCCCUUGGACCCACUGCAUGAGGAGGGACGGGCACGGCUGCCUUCGUCCACAGCCCAGCAGUGCCUUAAGGCAGGAGAGCUGCUUCCUGGGCUGGGAGCACCUUAGCACUAUGUGAAUAUUCCAAAGGGAGCCUGUACAGGGGGGAGAGGGGAA